rnacentral:rRNA from 1 species
ACCAACAGGGAUUGCCCUAGUAACGGCGAGUGAAGCGGCAACAGCUCAAAUUUGAAAUCUGGCUCUUUUAGGGUCCGAGUUGUAAUUUGCAGAGGGCGCUUUGGCGUUGGCAGCGGUCCAAGUUCCUUGGAACAGGACGUCACAGAGGGUGAGAAUCCCGUACGUGGUCGCUGGCCUUCGCCGUGUAAAGCCUCUUCGACGAGUCGAGUUGUUUGGGAAUGCAGCUCUAAAUGGGAGGUAAAUUUCUUCUAAAGCUAAAUACUGGCCAGAGACCGAUAGCGCACAAGUAGAGUGAUCGAAAGAUGAAAAGCACUUUGGAAAGAGAGUCAAAUAGCACGUGAAAUUGUUAAAAGGGAAGCGCUUGCAGCCAGACUUGCCCGUAGUUGCUCAUCCAGGCUUUUGCCUGGUGCAUUCUUCUAUGGGCAGGCCAGCAUCAGUUUGGGCGGUUGGAUAAAGGUCUCUGUCAUGUACCUCCUUUCGGGGAGGCCUUAUAGGGGAGACGACAUGCAACCAGCCUGGACUGAGGUCCGCGCAUUCGCUAGGAUGCUGGCGUAAUGGCUGUAAGCGGCCCGUCUUGAAACACGGACCAAGGAGUCUAACAUCUAUGCGAGUGUUUGGGUGUCAAGCCCGAACGCGCAAUGAAAGUGAACGGAGGUGGGAACCCUUAAGGGUGCACCAUCGACCGAUCCUGAUGUCUUCGGAAGGAUUUGAGUAAGAGCAUAGCUGUUGGGACCCGAAAGAUGGUGAACUAUGCUUGAAUAGGGUGAAGCCAGAGGAAACUCUGGUGGAGGCUCGCAGCGGUUCUGACGUGCAAAUCGAUCGUCAAAUUUGGGCAUAGGGGCGAAAGACUAAUCGAACU